GGCAAGAUGACCGAGCGGUCUAAGGUGUGUGACUCAAGCGUAAGGCUUGCCCCGAACGGGGUUUCUCAUCAGCAUUAGCUGGCGUGGGUUCAAAUCCCACUCUUGUCA